UACGAACUGUGCAAACGUUAUUCGGAUUCACUGGGCUUAAAGGGUGCGUAGGCGGCUUGCCAAGUAGGGUGUGAAAGCCCCCGGCUUAACCGGGGAAUUGCGCCCUAAACUGGCGAGCUGGAGUGAGAUAGGGGUGUGUGGAACUUCCGGUGGAGCGGUGAAAUGUGUUGAUAUCGGUGGGAACGCCAGUGGCGAAAGCGGCAGACUGGACCCUUCCUGACGCUGAUGCGCGAAAGCUAGGGGAGCAAACGGG
rnacentral:rRNA from 1 species